rnacentral:rRNA from 1 species
GAGCACGUAGGUGGGUUUGUAAGUCGGUUGUGAAAGACCAGGUCUAACACGUGGAAAGUCAGCCGAAACUGUAUACCUGGAGGCUGGUAGGGGAGAGUAGAAUUCCUGGUGGAGCGGUGAAAUGCGUUGAUAUCAUGAGGAAUAUCGGAGGCGAAGGCGACUCUCUGGGCCAGUCCUGACGCUGAGGUGCGAAAGCCAGGGGAGCGAACGGGAUUAGAUACCCCGGUAGUCCUGGCCGUAAACGAUGGGCACUAAGUAGAGGGGUUUU